GACGAACGCUGGCGGCGUGCUUAACACAUGCAAGUCGAACGGAAAGGCCCUGCUUUUGUGGGGUGCUCGAGUGGCGAACGGGUGAGUAACACGUGAGUAACCUGCCCUUGACUUUGGGAUAACUUCAGGAAACUGGGGCUAAUACCGGAUAGGAGCUCCUGCUGCACGGUGGGGGUUGGAAAGUUUCGGCGGUUGGGGAUGGACUCGCGGCUUAUCAGCUUGUUGGUGGGGUAGUGGCUUACCAAGGCUUUGACGGGUAGCCGGCCUGAGAGGGUGACCGGCCACAUUGGGACUGAGAUACGGCCCAGACUCCUACGGGAGGCAGCAGUGGGGAAUAUUGCACAAUGGGCGGAAGCCCGAUGCAGCAACGCCGCGUGCGGGAUGACGGCCUUCGGGUUGUAAACCGCUUUCGCCUGUGACGAAGCGUGAGUGACGGUAAUGGGUAAAGAAGCACCGGCUAACUACGUGCCAGCAGCCGCGGUGAUACGUAGGGUGCGAGCGUUGUCCGGAUUUAUUGGGCGUAAAGGGCUCGUAGGUGGUUGAUCGCGUCGGAAGUGUAAUCUUGGGGCUUAACCCUGAGCGUGCUUUCGAUACGGGUUGACUUGAGGAAGGUAGGGGAGAAUGGAAUUCCUGGUGGAGCGGUGGAAUGCGCAGAUAUCAGGAGGAACACCAGUGGCGAAGGCGGUUCUCUGGGCCUUUCCUGACGCUGAGGAGCGAAAGCGUGGGGAGCGAACAGGCUUAGAUACCCUGGUAGUCCACGCUGUAAACGGUGGGUACUAGGUGUGGGGUCCAUUCCACGGGUUCCGUGCCGUAGCUAACGCUUUAAGUACCCCGCCUGGGGAGUACGGCCGCAAGGCUAAAACUCAAAGGAAUUGACGGGGCCCCGCACAAGCGGCGGAGCAUGCGGAUUAAUUCGAUGCAACGCGUAGAACCUUACCUGGGUUUGACAUGGAUCGGGAGUGCUCAGAGAUGGGUGUGCCUCUUUUGGGGUCGGUUCACAGGUGGUGCAUGGCUGUCGUCAGCUCGUGUCGUGAGAUGUUGGGUUAAGUCCCGCAACGAGCGCAACCCCUGUUCACUGUUGCCAGCACGUUAUGGUGGGGACUCAGUGGAGACCGCCGGGGUCAACUCGGAGGAAGGUGGGGAUGACGUCAAGUCAUCAUGCCCCUUAUGUCCAGGGCUUCACGCAUGCUACAAUGGCUGGUACAGAGAGUGGCGAGCCUGUGAGGGUGAGCGAAUCUCGGAAAGCCGGUCUCAGUUCGGAUUGGGGUCUGCAACUCGACCUCAUGAAGUCGGAGUCGCUAGUAAUCGCAGAUCAGCAACGCUGCGGUGAAUACGUUCCCGGGGCU
rnacentral:rRNA from 1 species